AUGGGAAACAUAGAUUUAUUUAGAAGACUGGGGACAACUUUCAAGCAUGCAACACUUGGUCAAUGCGAAAAAUAAGAUGGGAAAGCCCAGACAAUGACUUCAUGGAAGCCCGAGAUAAAAUAAGGCACUAAAUGGUCUAUAAUGGAAGCUUCUCUGAUUUGGUCUACAUUCAUUAUUAAAGGAGUUCAACAAUGUAGCUCACAGGUCAUAGUUCCAGAGGGCAUAGUUCUAGAGGGCAUAGUUUCAGAGGUCAUAGGUCCAGAGGAUGUAGUUCUAGAGGCGUAGUUCUAGGGGGUUUAUCUCCACAGGGUGUAGUUCCAAAGGGAGUAGUUCUAGAGGUCAUACUUCCAAAGGGGGUAAUUCUAGAGCUAAUACGUGCACCAAGUCCCAACUCUUUGGAAGGGAUGCAUUUAUUAGAUAAAAGGUCACUGUGGGCUUGCUCGCUUCUCCGGUGAAUCAUGAUAACUCGAUGGAUCUCAUAGCCCUUGUGAUGGCGAUGCUUCAUUCAUAUUUCUUCCCUAUCAAAUUUCGAUGGUAGGGUAGAGGCCUACCAUGGUGGUGAUGAGUGACGGAGAAUUAGGGUUUGAUUAUGGAGAGGGAGCCUGAGAAACGACUACCACAUCCAAGGAAACGGGAACGCAAAUUACCCAAUCCUGACAUGGGGACGUAGUGACAAUAAAUAACAAUAACGGGCUCAUUGAGUCUGGUAAUUGGAAUGAGUAAAAUCUAAAUCCCUUAAUGAGGAUCCAGUGGAGGGAAAGUUUGGUGCGAGCAGUCGCAAUACUUCCAGCUCCAAUACCAUAUAUUUAAGUUGUUGGAGUUAAAAAGCUCAUAGUUGGAUAUUGGGUCAUAAAGGACAGUUCACCUACUUGGUGUCCACCUUCCCUUUCGUCCCUUUUGUCGGUGGUGUGCUCCUGGCCUUAAUUAGCUGGGUCACGGUUCCAGUGUUGUUACUUUGAAAAAAUUAGAGUGCUCAAAGGAAGAUUAUGCUCUGAAUACAUUAGCAUGGAAUAACGCGAUAGGAGUUUGGUCUUAUUGUGUUAAACUUCGGGACCGGAGUAAUGAUUAAUAGGGAUUGUCGGGGGCAUUCAUAUUUCAUUGUGAGAGGUGAAAUUAUGGAUUUAUGAAAGACGAACCACUGCGAAAUAAUUUGCCAAGGAUGUUUUCAUUAAUUAAGAACAAAAGUUGGGGGCUCAAAGACAAUCAAAUAUUGUCCUAGUCUUAACCAUAAACGAUGCCAACUAGGGAUCAACGGAUGUUUCUCUAAGGAAUCCACCACAACCUUCUAAGAAAUCAUAGUGUUUGGGUUCCGGGGGGAGUAUGGUCAUAG
rnacentral:ncRNA from 1 species